UACGGAGGGAGCUAGCGUUGUUCGGAAUUACUGGGCGUAAAGCGCGCGUAGGCGGCUUUGCAAGUUAGAGGUGAAAGCCCGGAGCUCAACUUCGGAAUUGCCUUUAAAACUGCAUCGCUUGAAUCCGGGAGAGGUGAGUGGAAUUCCGAGUGUAGAGGUGAAAUUCGUAGAUAUUCGGAAGAACACCAGUGGCGAAGGCGGCUCACUGGACCGGCACUGACGCUGAGGUGCGAAAGCGUGGGGAGCAAACAGG
rnacentral:rRNA from 1 species